GUGACAGCCCCGUACACAAAAAUGCACAUAUUGUGAGCUCGAUGAGUAGGGCGGGACACGUGGUAUCCUGUCUGAAUAUGGGGGGACCAUCCUCCAAGGCUAAAUACUCCUGACUGACCGAUAGUGAACCAGUACCGUGAGGGAAAGGCGAAAAGAACCCCGGCGAGGGGAGUGAAAAAGAACCUGAAACCGUGUACGUACAAGCAGUGGGAGCCUCUUUAUGGGGUGACUGCGUACCUUUUGUAUAAUGGGUCAGCGACUUAUAUUCUGUAGCAAGGUUAACCGAAUAGGGGAGCCGAAGGGAAACCGAGUCUUAACUGGGCGUUAAGUUGCAGGGUAUAGACCCGAAACCCGGUGAUCUAGCCAUGGGCAGGUUGAAGGUUGGGUAACACUAACUGGAGGACCGAACCGACUAAUGUUGAAAAAUUAGCGGAUGACUUGUGGCUGGGGGUGAAAGGCCAAUCAAACCGGGAGAUAGCUGGUUCUCCCCGAAAGCUAUUUAGGUAGCGCCUCGUGAAUUCAUCUCCGGGGGUAGAGCACUGUUUCGGCAAGGGGGUCAUCCCGACUUACCAACCCGAUGCAAACUGCGAAUACCGGAGAAUGUUAUCACGGGAGACACACGGCGGGUGCUAACGUCCGUCGUGAAGAGGGAAACAACCCAGACCGCCAGCUAAGGUCCCAAAGUCAUGGUUAAGUGGGAAACGAUGUGGGAAGGCCCAGACAGCCAGGAUGUUGGCUUAGAAGCAGCCAUCAUUUAAAGAAAGCGUAAUAGCUCACUGGUCGAGUCGGCCUGCGCGGAAGAUGUAACGGGGCUAAACCAUGCACCGAAGCUGCGGCAGCGACACUAUGUGUUGUUGGGUAGGGGAGCGUUCUGUAAGCCUGUGAAGGUGGCCUGUGAGGGUUGCUGGAGGUAUCAGAAGUGCGAAUGCUGACAUAAGUAACGAUAAAGCGGGUGAAAAGCCCGCUCGCCGGAAGACCAAGGGUUCCUGUCCAACGUUAAUCGGGGCAGGGUGAGUCGACCCCUAAGGCGAGGCCGAAAGGCGUAGUCGAUGGGAAACAGGUUAAUAUUCCUGUACUUGGUGUUACUGCGAAGGGGGGACGGAGAAGGCUAUGUUGGCCGGGCGACGGUUGUCCCGGUUUAAGCGUGUAGGCUGGUUUUCCAGGCAAAUCCGGAAAACCAAGGCUGAGGCGUGAUGACGAGGCACUACGGUGCUGAAGCGACAAAUGCCCUGCUUCCAGGAAAAGCCUCUAAGCAUCAGGUAACAUCAAAUCGUACCCCAAACCGACACAGGUGGUCAGGUAGAGAAUACCAAGGCGCUUGAGAGAACUCGGGUGAAGGAACUAGGCAAAAUGGUGCCGUAACUUCGGGAGAAGGCACGCUGAUAUGUAGGUGAAGCGACUUGCUCGUGGAGCUGAAAUCAGUCGAAGAUACCAGCUGGCUGCAACUGUUUAUUAAAAACACAGCACUGUGCAAACACGAAAGUGGACGUAUACGGUGUGACGCCUGCCCGGUGCCGGAAGGUUAAUUGAUGGGGUUAGCGGUAACGCGAAGCUCUUGAUCGAAGCCCCGGUAAACGGCGGCCGUAACUAUAACGGUCCUAAGGUAGCGAAAUUCCUUGUCGGGUAAGUUCCGACCUGCACGAAUGGCGUAAUGAUGGCCAGGCUGUCUCCACCCGAGACUCAGUGAAAUUGAACUCGCUGUGAAGAUGCAGUGUACCCGCGGCAAGACGGAAAGACCCCGUGAACCUUUACUAUAGCUUGACACUGAACAUUGAGCCUUGAUGUGUAGGAUAGGUGGGAGGCUUUGAAGUGUGGACGCCAGUCUGCAUGGAGCCGACCUUGAAAUACCACCCUUUAAUGUUUGAUGUUCUAACGUUGGCCCGUAAUCCGGGUUGCGGACAGUGUCUGGUGGGUAGUUUGACUGGGGCGGUCUCCUCCUAAAGAGUAACGGAGGAGCACGAAGGUUGGCUAAUCCUGGUCGGACAUCAGGAGGUUAGUGCAAUGGCAUAAGCCAGCUUGACUGCGAGCGUGACGGCGCGAGCAGGUGCGAAAGCAGGUCAUAGUGAUCCGGUGGUUCUGAAUGGAAGGGCCAUCGCUCAACGGAUAAAAGGUACUCCGGGGAUAACAGGCUGAUACCGCCCAAGAGUUCAUAUCGACGGCGGUGUUUGGCACCUCGAUGUCGGCUCAUCACAUCCUGGGGCUGAAGUAGGUCCCAAGGGUAUGGCUGUUCGCCAUUUAAAGUGGUACGCGAGCUGGGUUUAGAACGUCGUGAGACAGUUCGGUCCCUAUCUGCCGUGGGCGCUGGAGAACUGAGGGGGGCUGCUCCUAGUACGAGAGGACCGGAGUGGACGCAUCACUGGUGUUCGGGUUGUCAUGCCAAUGGCACUGCCCGGUAGCUAAAUGCGGAAGAGAUAAGUGCUGAAAGCAUCUAAGCACGAAACUUGCCCCGAGAUGAGUUCUCCCUGACUCCUUGAGAGUCCUGAAGGAACGUUGAAGACGACGACGUUGAUAGGCCGGGUGUGUAAGCGCAGCGAUGCGUUGAGCUAACCGGUACUAAUGAACCGUGAGGCUUAACCUUACAAC
rnacentral:rRNA from 1 species